ensembl:lncRNA
ACACACACACACACACACACACACACACACACACACACACACACACACACACACACACACACAAGGUACACACUCUCUCUCUCUCUCAAAGGCACACACACACACUCUCUCUCAAAGGCACACACACACACUACUUUCGACCUCUUUCUCUUCCUCUUCAUAAUUCUCCCUAGCAAGCAUUUGGUUCCUCCUCUGGUCCGUCCAUCAGGGCCGAUCUCAGUGAGCUGCCAUAGGGCCGGCCGUGAGGAAAGCAGCGUCUGGUCCAGAGCACUACUCCAUUAGCCCAUCCUGCUCCCCUACCCCCGUCCGUCCGUCCGUCCGUCCGUCCGUCCGUCCGUCCGAACCCCUCCUUGUAGUCCUCCAGCAACACCCUCAUCAUGGGACAGACAGACAGACAGACAGACAGACAGGAGGGUCCCAGAGCUCUGAUGCAGAGUUUGAAGCGUGCAUAAGUUGCCCUCAAUGUCUCCCACGAAAGAGCGAGGCCCUCUCAACGCCAUGAUGGGUGGGACUGGCAGGCCCAUGUCGGAGGAGAAUGGACAAUAAUUCGAUCCCCCUCCUCCCCAAUAGCCCUCCAUCUCCCUGAUGAGCACAGGCAUGCAGGCGCGCGCGCCGCCGGUUCCGCUCAUUCGAAUCUCAGCAUUCCCACUCAUGAUGACACCAUGCACCCGGGCGCCGCUCUGUCUAGGAGCCAGCUUCACCCCCUCAGCCCAGGCCAGUGUGGAUGGACAUUACAGCCCAGCGGUGCCCCACCGGACCCAGCACCGUGUGUUCCUGGAAGCCGGGCGUGUGCGAAUUGACCCAUCCUUCGUGGGAUUAUGCCAAAACCGGAAAAACGGGGUGUUUCAUUUGUCACUAAAUAAUAACAUUUGGGAAAAUCUCAAGUUGCGACACGGGCUCCGACCCGCGUCUUAUGGUUGUUUACAUCAACCGCUCCGUAUUCGAUUUCCCAGAAUGCCUUCCCCCACUCCUCCCCGGCCCUCCAAGUCUCCACUUCCUGUUAUCAGGAAUGGCUAUUUGUUAUGAGGUAUAAAGUGUUAUGAUAACCAUAUUCAUCAAAAUUACACAACACCGAAAAAACCUUGGGUGAGUGAACUCGCUAACGUCUUCGGUGAAAUCAUUUCUCAUGACUUGAGUUUUUUUUAAAGAUAUUCCUAUCUCCAUGACGACCUCUGGGUCGACGCUGGUUCUGUGACGCGUUGGCAGUUGAAACAUGAACAAGAAACCUCAUCGCAAAAUCAUGGAGAGAUUAACAACUCCCUUCCAACAAAUUCCCUCUGUCCAGCUGAUCCUUUGGGUGGAUAUUUGAGAUGGUUGACAUAGAUCAGCAUAAGUGCGUAUUCCCUGUGAUCAUUAUUACAGGGCCUCUGUUCUAAGUGAGCCUGUGUUAUUAUUAUUCGUAUAAUCAUUGUGGAGCCACAGCCUGCCACACACAUAAGGCAGAGGCAGGGGGCAAAAGAAGGCACAAGGAACGGCAUUGUAUAUCUCUCUAAAUGUCUUGAUCAUUAAAUAAUGGGCCCUGCCCAUUAAACAGCAGCAUAUGAAUAUCGGCAGCGUCAAAAGCGCACCACUGUUUAUACUACAAAUGCGGUUGAGUUACACCAUGUACAGUAAAACGGACCUGACUGCCAGUAACUCUAGUCACUUACCAACAAAAGCAUCAUUUCCUGAAAGCUCCUCCCAUUCUCCCUCCCUC